UACUUUUAAUUAAAACACUGCAUUGUCGCAAAUAUUUUAAUAGCCUCUUUAUUAAGCUAUAUGAGCGUUGAUUGCCAUUAUGAAUGUAUAUGCAAUAUAUUGCAUUAGAAAAUGCUAUCAUAAGUAACUUGGCAGCAUUGCGUAUCGUGUUCAUUUGAAAUUUCGAAACACAAAACUUUAUAAAUAAAUCCAAUCGAAAUUAGCUCGGGAUGAAAAUGCCUGAAGGAGUUUCGAU
rnacentral:sRNA from 1 species